CAGAUGCCUGUGGACCUACCCAUAACCCACACUGGAAGAUUUUGACUCAUAGAGAGAGCCUGUGCCAAAUGAAGACUUCAAACCUGUCAUUAGAGCUUUGAAGCCAGUGAGAUCACCCCUGCCACCCAGGGAUGCACUCCCCGUGACUUCAGCUGGUGUUCACGUGAGGGGGCUUCCAUGGCAAAGCUGAAGCAGCAUGUGAUCUGAAAGUCCCUUGCGGCUGUCGAGCUCCACAGAUGAGAGGAAGACAAAAAUAUGACCAGAAGACAAAAUACCCUGAGGCUACCUCGUGCAUGAAAACUUCCCUAGGUCAGGAGCGGCUGUCUCACUUUUAGAGCAAGGCCACAGCCAUCUAGGUGAGUGGGUUUAACAGGG